rnacentral:rRNA from 1 species
GACGAAGGAUGCAAGCGUUAUCCGGAUUCAUUGGGUUUAAAGGGCGCGUAGGCGGAUUGGUAAGUCAGUGGUGAAAUCUUUGGGCUUAACCCAGAAACUGCCAUUGAUACUGCUGAUCUAGAGUACAGUUGCCGUUGGCGGAAUAUGACAUGUAGUGGUGAAAUACUUAGAUAUGUCAUAGAACACCGAUUGCGAAGGCAGCUAACGAAGCUGUAACUGACGCUGAGGCUCGAAAGUGCGGGGAUCAAACAGG